AUAGAUAGAUAGUGAGAUGGUUGGACCUGGUCUCUGGCACCUGCGGUCAACCGGGUUCCUAGCGGGUGGCAAAAUCCUCGAUGGCCCUGCCUACGUCAGCCCACUCCAGCUCGUGGUUCAGAAUCGAGGGCACCAGCAAAAUGAAAAGUUGUCCUGACUGCAGUAACAGACCGCAUCAAACACCGCAUGUUUGGCUUCUGUAACCUAGCUUACUUUCUGCACUUACCCCUAGAAAUGGUUGUGCUACACUGAACUCAGGACUGCACUCUGAGCAGCACUUUUAGCUGUGAGUGAAGUCACUGGCUGGCUUAAUAAAGACCCUCAAAUUUGA